UGAACGCUGGCGGCGUGCCUAAUACAUGCAAGUCGAGCGAACGGACGAGAAGCUUGCUUCUCUGAUGUUAGCGGCGGACGGGUGAGUAACACGUGGAUAACCUACCUAUAAGACUGGGAUAACUUCGGGAAACCGGAGCUAAUACCGGAUAAUAUUUUGAACCGCAUGGUUCAAAAGUGAAAGACGGUCUUGCUGUCACUUAUAGAUGGAUCCGCCCUGCAUUAGCUAGUUGGUAAGGUAACGGCUUACCAAGGCAACGAUGCAUAGCCGACCUGAGAGGGUGAUCGGCCACACAGGAACUGAGACACGGUCCCGACUCCUACGGGAGGCAGCAGUAGGGAAUCUUCCGCAAUGGGCGAAAGCCUGACGGAGCAACGCCGCGUGAGUGAUGAAGGUCUUCGGAUCGUAAAACUCUGUUAUUAGGGAAGAACAUAUGUGUAAGUAACUGUGCACAUCUUGACGGUACCUAAUCAGAAAGCCACGGCUAACUACGUG
rnacentral:rRNA from 1 species